AGUGAACGCUGGCGGUAGGCCUAACACAUGCAAGUCGAACGGCAGCACAGUAAGAGCUUGCUCUUACGGGUGGCGAGUGGCGGACGGGUGAGGAAUACAUCGGAAUCUACUUUUUCGUGGGGGAUAACGUAGGGAAACUUACGCUAAUACCGCAUACGACCUACGGGUGAAAGCAGGGGAUCUUCGGGCCUUGCGCGAUUGAAUGAGCCGAUGUCGGAUUAGCUAGUUGGCGGGGUAAAGGCCCACCAAGGCGACGAUCCGUAGCUGGUCUGAGAGGAUGAUCAGCCACACUGGAACUGAGACACGGUCCAGACUCCUACGGGAGGCAGCAGUGGGGAAUAUUGGACAAUGGGCGCAAGCCUGAUCCAGCCAUACCGCGUGGGUGAAGAAGGCCUUCAGGUUGUAAAGCCCUUUUGUUGGGAAAGAAAAGCAGCAGGUUAAUACCCCGCUGUUCUGACGGUACCCAAAGAAUAAGCACCGGCUAACUUCGUG
rnacentral:rRNA from 1 species